UACAGAGGUGGCAAGCGUUGUUCGGAAUUACUGGGCGUAAAGCGUGCGCAGGCGGUUUUGUAAGCCAGAUGUGAAAGCCCCGGGCUUAACCUGGGAAUGGCAUUUGGGACUGCAAGGCUUGAGUGCGGCAGAGGAGACUGGAAUUCCUGGUGUAGCAGUGAAAUGCGUAGAUAUCAGGAGGAAUACCGAUGGCGAAGGCAGGUCUCUGGGCUGACACUGACGCUCAUGCACGAAAGCGUGGGGAGCAAACAGG
rnacentral:rRNA from 1 species